GACGAACGCUGGCGGCGUGCUUAACACAUGCAAGUCGAACGGAAAGGCCCUGCUUUUGUGGGGUGCUCGAGUGGCGAACGGGUGAGUAACACGUGAGUAACCUGCCCUUGACUUUGGGAUAACUUCAGGAAACUGGGGCUAAUACCGGAUAGGAGCUCCUGCUGCAUGGUGGGGGUUGGAAAGUUUCGGCGGUUGGGGAUGGACUCGCGGCUUAUCAGCUUGUUGGUGGGGUAGUGGCUUACCAAGGCUUUGACGGGUAGCCGGCCUGAGAGGGUGACCGGCCACAUUGGGACUGAGAUACGGCCCAGACUCCUACGGGAGGCAGCAGUGGGGAAUAUUGCACAAUGGGCGGAAGCCUGAUGCAGCAACGCCGCGUGCGGGAUGACGGCCUUCGGGUGGUAAACCGCUUUCGCCUUUGACGAAGCGUGAGUGACGGUAAUGGGGAAAGAAGCACCGGCUAACUACGU
rnacentral:rRNA from 1 species